GCCCGAGUAGCGUAGUGGUAGCGCAUCAGCCUUCUAAGCUGAGGGUCGUGGGUUCGAUACCCACCUUGGGUG